CGCCAAUGAUGGUUAAGAAUUUCUUCACCUGAAUAAAUCAUGUGGUCAUACCGUAUCUGAGGCAC
ensembl:snoRNA SNORD36 Small nucleolar RNA SNORD36